CAGCCGCCGCGGGAAUACGAAGGGGGCUAGCGUUGCUCGGAAUUACUGGGCGUAAAGGGAGCGUAGGCGGAUCGUUAAGUUGGGGGUGAAAGCCCGGGGCUCAACCUCGGAACUGCCUUCAAUACUGGCGAUCUUGAGUAUGAGAGAGGUGUGUGGAACUCCGAGUGUAGAGGUGAAAUUCGUAGAUAUUCGGAAGAACACCAGUGGCGAAGGCGACACACUGGCUCAUUACUGACGCUGAGGCUCGAAAGCGUGGGGAGCAAACAGGAUUAGAUACCCCCGUAGUCCCUGUCUCUUAUAC
rnacentral:rRNA from 1 species